rnacentral:rRNA from 1 species
ACGCACGCUGGCGGCGUGCUUCACACAUGCAAGUCGAACGGAAAGGCCCUGCUUUUGUGGGGUGCUCGAGUUGCGAACGGGUGAGUAACACGUGAGUAACCUGCCCUUGACUUUGGGAUAACUUCAGGAAACUGGGGCUAAUACCGGAUAGGAGCUCCUGCUGCAUGGUGGGGGUUGGAAAGUUUCGGCGGUUGGGGAUGGACUCGCGGCUUAUCAGCUUGUUGGUGGGGUAGUGGCUUACCAAGGCUUUGACGGGUAGCCGGCCUGAGAGGGUGACCGGCCACAUUGGGACUGAGAUACGGCCCAGACUCCUACGGGAGGCAGCAGUGGGGAAUAUUGCACAAUGGGCGGAAGCCUGAUGCAGCAACGCCGCGUGCGGGAUGACGGCCUUCGGGUUGUAAACCGCUUUCGCCUGUGACGAAGCGUGAGUGACGGUAAUGGGUAAAGAAGCACCGGCUAACUACGUG